rnacentral:rRNA from 1 species
UACGAAGGGGGCUAGCGUUGCUCGGAAUUACUGGGCGUAAAGGGAGCGUAGGCGGGUCGUCAAGUUGGGGGUGAAAGCCCAGGGCUCAACCCUGGAACUGCCUUCAAAACUGGCGACCUAGAGUAUGGUAGAGGUGUGUGGAACUCCGAGUGUAGAGGUGAAAUUCGUAGAUAUUGGAAAGAACACCGGUGGCGAAAGGCGGCGACCUGGUUCAUUACUGACGCUGAGGCGCGAAAGCGUGGGGAGCAAACAGG